UUAUAAGAGUUGUUUUACUCGAGAAUUUUUUGAAUGUAUGUAAUUACAACUGCAGUAUAAUUAUAAUUAUAUACCGGUUCAGGUAUAAUAUUUAGUUUAAUAAAUUUAGAUCCAACUGUUGUAGGAUGCAGCAGUUAAAACUCUCUAAUCAUUUUUUAAAUAGAAAUUUUUUUUUAUAUUGAAGUCAAUUUCACAACCACAUACAUAAAAUGAUAAAAAAAAUUAAAAAAAUAUAAUUACUCAACUACACGUAACGAAAUAAAUUAUGAACUAGACUGUAAUACUAUUAAUAGCAUCAAGCUGUUGGUGCUAUUAAUUUUUUAGCCCUUGGAUUGAGAAAUACGCGGUUAGGAUGAUGCGGGCCCCUUAAGAUUAAGUGGGUGGUUGAUUGAAUAGUAUAAUUUAACGAGUAAAAAUAAUCAAAGGGUUAAAUCUAACGGUGGAAAACUCGAUAGUACCAAACCCUUUGUGCUAUUAAUAGUAUCCCAGCCAGACUCAUAAAUUAUUUAUACUUAUAGUAUUUUUCACUGCUUUCAAUCAAAUAAGAGAUAUACAUAGUUAUAUUUUUUAACUGCCUGCAGCUCUAACUAUAAUUAUAUUUUUAAUUAUAUCAAGCCAC
rnacentral:lncRNA from 1 species